AAAGGGGUGAGGAAUAGGGUAAAUACAGUACAGAAAGCACAAGUCGGUCCACAGCCGCGUGAUAAUAAUAAAGAGUUAAGUAUACAAAUGUGCGAAAAAUAAGGUUGAUUAUGUAGUGAAAAUACAGGAGUGAAAAGAGGAUGUGCCGGGGUCCAAAAAAGCGUUGAAUAAACAAGGACAGUAUAAAAACACAGGCCGGCGGCGCACUCGCGGAAUGCGACAGCUACCAUCUACCCAGCCUUGUAAAAACCAAGAACGGCAUACAAGCAAAUGUCAAUGUUGCAGGAAUAUUUUUUGGAAUAUUGCAUAUAUGGAAAAUUGGGGCCAUAUUAUUAAAAUAUGCCAAAAAAAGAUUAGACAAGCUACCUAAAUUCUUCGAGCUCAAAACACUCGGAGGCUAUAAGUCAAAAAUUCCUCGCACUUAAAACACUUUUUCAUCAAUGUACAAAAAUUAAAAUUGAACAAAAUAAUAAUUAAAAAAAAAUCAUAUUUUGACAGAUAUUCAAGAAGGAAAAAAAAAUAAAAAAUACACUUCGCGGAGUAAAUUACUUAAUAGUGUAAAUUGAAUCCAUCUAGGAGCGAAUGUUAUACUCCGGAGUAUAUCCAGGCCUGGAUGAGGUAAGUCAACCGAAAAUCAUCUACUCCUCUCCGCUUCAAUCCACUUCACUCCGCAAAUUUUUUUAACAGCCGAGACCAGUGAUUGCAGUUUCAAUCGGCUUAGCGAAACGA